GGGGCAACGGUCUUUGAUCUACAGCUUCGUGGCUAAAGGAACAGUGGUUCUCGCCGAACCCAUACGUUUCUCAUCCGUCCCUUCCUUCUUCAGCUACCAAAUCCACGGCCUUCUUAAACUCUCACAAAUGGUUAGUAAUGCUAUUGUGGAGUUACUUUGCUGUUGUCUUUACCGAUCCGGGCAGUGUGCCACCUAAUUGGAGGCCUGCGUCGGAUAAGGAGAGAGGUGAGACCGAUCCAUUGACUGAGGCAGAAUUGGGUGGUAUGUCAGCAAACCCAGUGAAUCCAAGGAUCCGUUAUUGUCGGAAGUGCAACCAGCCGAAACCACCUCGGUGCCAUCAUUGUUCUAUUUGUGGGAGGUGUGUGCUGAAAAUGGACCAUCAUUGUGUGUGGGUUGUCAAUUGUGUGGGGGCAUUGAACUACAAGUAUUUUCUUCUUUUCAUUUU